GAAAAGAUUAAUUUAAGAGCUUGUUUAAUGCCGUUUUUGGAGAGACGUAAUUUCGUUGGUAGCAAGUUCUAUUCGUAAAUAUUGUUGUAUAUAUACGUUCGUGGGGAUGUAAAUUCAUUGUCAAGGGUUACACACGAAAGCCACGAACAUUUUACCCCUCAAACAAUGAUGAUUCCACCAUACGUAUAUCAAUUUUAUCAUAUAGUUUUGUUGUUUAAAUCUCCUAAAGGCCAUAUAUACAAGUAUUUAUUGUUUUAAACAUUUAUUUUGAUUUUCAAAUUAAAUGAUUAAAUAUGCA